CUAUGUCCCCCUAAUCUUUCAUCUCUAUAAUGCAAUUUUUCAUCUAUUUUAUUUUUGGCGCGUUUAUGAAACGCUUUAAUCAUAUCUUUCUACGUAAGUCAUGACCAUAUGAGAUAUGAUGAUGACACCCUCACCAAUAUAAAUUAGUCCCCCACACAAAAAAAAAUCAUAAUUUCAUUAAUGGAUGACAUAUAUAUUCUUUUAACACAAUUUGGAGCGGUUUAACUUUAUCUUUAAUUUGUCAUUUUUCAUUAUGGCUACAAUCAUCACCAAAUCACAUGAACAUGUCGAUCCUCUCUCCAGGGACAACGGCAUCCUCUUUUCCUCGCAAUUCUUUUGUGGUCGGAAAAUCCAUCCAAUUCUGGCAUACUAGUGGAAAGGGGGGAAAAGGUGUCAUCUUCAUGUGAGUUAAAAAAAGAGAACAAUUAUUUCCAACUUUGGUUCUUUUUGCCACGUUUAGCACUGGCUAAGCUACAUUUAAGUCACUACUAGUUUCCUUUACUUUUUGUGUUUUCUCCUUUUUCUUUUUAAAUUUUUCCCAUUCAUCUUUUCAGUAUAUUAAAAUUAAUUGUCCAACUUAAAAAAUUAAGAAAUAAUUUACUUCUUUAUGUCUAUCUUACCGCAAUUAGUACUAUUCCUUUUCUCUACAUUAAGAUGACUUACAAUUAAUAGGAAUAGUAUAGUAAAUUAAUAUUUUAUUUAUUACUUCC
rnacentral:lncRNA from 1 species